AUGGUCUACUGGACAUCUCAUCAACCAAGGACCUGUUCUGUGUUCACUACACUGUUCUUCCCGGACUUCAGACAGACUUGGGGAUCUUUACACAAGGCUGGAACCAUCAUCCACUCCGCACAGAAGGAAACCGGAGUCCAGAGCAGAUGUGGCAGAUUGGACUGAUGAACACAAAUGUUGUUCAGCCUGACAUACCAGAGGAGCCCGAUGUUGACUGGGAAAUGGCGGCAGACUACAAUGGAGAAGAUGAGGAUGCAGGAAUAGUUGUCCCUGAAUUUGAGUGCCCUUUGACUCCAGAAGACCUGUCUGAAAUUCAAUCAUUACUUGAGGAAACUGAUCCAGAAACUCCAGUCAGGGAACUUUACCUUCUUUGUCGUGAGUAUGUAGCUGCAAGAUGUAGCUCUUAACAAGUCGACAUGGAGGCAGUCAGCCUGUGACCUUGUUAAGGCAUUACGGAAGUCUGUUUCUUUCUCUUAAAACUGCACAGAGGAACUGGUUUGCUAAUUUGAAAGACAUUCACACAACUGUAUGUGAAAGGUAAAUAUGGCAUUCAAGACUGAUAUUCUUGUUUGUUUUAAAUCAGUUUGAUUGUAAUUCUUUCAUGCUUUUUAUGCUUGAUGUUUUUUGUAAAGCACUUUCAAUUGCUUAAACUGUGUGAUUUGUAAGUAAAUACUGGAUUAAAAUGAAACAGCUUAAUACAUCUUUGUUCAACUGCAAUAUUUAAAUUUACAUUUUUUUAAAGUGGCAUCAAAAUCAGGUUUUAAAAGAAUUAAGAACUUGGACAUCUGUGGUCCUCCUUCAUCUCUACUGCUGGUAACUGACUGCAGGUAAUGUUGGAGUGGCUGAUUUGUCUCAGCCAUCAGUUUUUUCUUCCCAGUACAAUGGCCAAACGCAGUAUAUGGGCUGUAGCUAAUCAAAAGUAGACAUGGAGGAAGCCAGUUUGUGGCAAUGGAGCAUUGUGGAGGUUCCUGUUGCUGCAAAAGCAGUAAAGUAAAAAUAUUCCAUCACACUGAUCAUCAAAUUAAAAAUAUUUAUUACAAAGGGAAAUUUAACAAUAAUGAGUGUAACACCACUUUUUUGUAUACAAAAGAUCUAAAUUGGGCCAUAUUAUGAAUUAACUGCAUUAGAAGCAAGGCCAAAGAGAAGACAGUUGAGUAAGAAAUUGUUCAAAAACAUAAAAACAAAUGUACACACAAUUCUGGUAACUUUCAUUAACCUGCUACUGUAUUGGACUUGUUAAACAAUGAUCAAACUGGGUGGUUUUUAAACUUUUAAACUUUAAUGACGUUUUCCUUGUGGCAUCUCCAACAAGUUAUGAAAAUGUCA